UGGAAUCAUUUCUGCACAAACUCGACUAUUGAAAUCAGUGUGCGGAAAUGCUUCUGCU
rnacentral:pre_miRNA from 1 species